CAGAUCUUGGCAGCCUUGCAGCAUGA
rnacentral:piRNA from 1 species